rnacentral:rRNA from 1 species
UGCUUAAUACAUGCAAGCCGAGCGGUUGUAGCAAUACGACAGCGGCGCACGGGUGAGUAACACGUAAAUAACCUGGCUUUAAGUUUGGAAUAACCAUCCCAAAGGGUGGCUAAUACCGGAUGUGGUAAUUUUAAGGCAUCUUAGAAUUAUUAAAGAUUUAUCGCUUAAAGAUGGAUUUGCGGAACAUUAGCUUGUUGGUGAGGUAGAGGCUUACCAAGGCGAUGAUGUUUAGCCGGCCUGAGAGGGUGAUCGGCCACAAUGGGACUGAGACACGGCCCAUACUCCUACGGGAGGCAGCAGUAAGGAAUAUUGCGCAAUGGAUGAAAGUCUGACGCAGCAACUCCGCGUGAUGGACGAAGGUUUUCGGAUUGUAAACAUCUUUUGUCAGAGAAGAAAAAAUUAAAAUUGACGGUAUCUGACGAAUAAGCUCCGGCUAAAUAUGUGCCAGCAGCCGCGGUAAUACAUAUGGAGCGAGCGUUACUCGGAAUCACUGGGCGUAAAGGGUGCGUAGGCUGUUUAAUAAGUCGUUGUUUUAACUUACGGGCUUAACCUGUUAUGUGAUAGCGAUACUGUUAGACUUGAAUACUUGAGGGGUAAAUGGAAUUUCCGGUGUAGCGGUGGAAUGCGUAGAUAUCGGAAAGAACACCGAUGGCGAAGGCAGUUUACUGGUAAGUCAUUGACGCUGAAGCACGAGGGUGUGGGUAGCAAACAGGAUUAGAUACCCUGGUAGUCCACACAGUAAACGAUGGACAUUAGUCGUCUGGCAGCAAUGUUGGGUGGCGUAGAUAACUUGAUAAAUGUCCCGCCUGGGUAGUACGACCGCAAGGUUGAAACCCAAAGAAAUUGACGGGGACCCGCACAAGCGGUGGAGCAUGUGCUUUAAUUCGAUGCAACGCGAAGAACCUUACCUGGUCUUGACAUAGUUCUGCCCGGUUCAGAGAUGAAUCUUUCAGCAAUGACAGGACAUACAGAUGCUGCAUGGUUGUCGUCAGCUCGUGUCGUGAGAUGUUGGGUUAAGUCCCGCAACGAGCGCAACCCUUGCCGAUAGUUGCCAACAGGUAAUGCUGGGGACUCUAUUGGGACUGCCUUCGCAAGGAGGAGGAAGGUGGGGAUGACGUCAAAUCAUCAUGGCUCUUACGACCAGGGCUA